rnacentral:rRNA from 1 species
AGAGUUUGAUCCUGGCUCAGAUUGAACGCUGGCGGCAUGCUUUACACAUGCAAGUCGAACGGCAGCAUAGGUGCUUGCACCUGAUGGCGAGUGGCGAACGGGUGAGUAAUAUAUCGGAACGUGUCCGGAAGUGGGGGAUAACGCAGCGAAAGUUGCGCUAAUACCGCAUAUGCCCUGAGGGGGAAAGGAGGGGAUCGCAAGACCUUUCGCUUUCGGAGUGGCCGAUAUCGGAUUAGCUAGUUGGUGGGGUAAAGGCCCACCAAGGCGACGAUCCGUAGCUGGUCUGAGAGGACGACCAGCCACACUGGGACUGAGACACGGCCCAGACUCCUACGGGAGGCAGCAGUGGGGAAUUUUGGACAAUGGGCGCAAGCCUGAUCCAGCCAUGCCGCGUGAGUGAAGAAGGCCUUCGGGUUGUAAAGCUCUUUCGGACAGAAAGAAAUCGCACAGGCUAAUACUCUGUGUGGAUGACGGUACUGUAAGAAGAAGCACCGGCUAACUACGUGCCAGCAGCCGCGGU